rnacentral:rRNA from 1 species
UACGGAGGGUGCGAGCGUUGUCCGGAAUCACUGGGCGUAAAGGGCGCGUAGGCGGCGCGGGGAGUCAACGGUGAAAGCUCGGCGCUCAACGCCGAGUCGGCCGUCGAUACUCCCGUGCUCGAGCACUGUAGAGGCAGGUGGAAUUCCGGGUGUAGCGGUGGAAUGCGUAGAGAUCCGGAAGAACACCGGUGGCGAAGGCGGCCUGCUGGGCAGUAGCUGACGCUCAUGCACGAAAGCGUGGGGAGCAAACAGG